rnacentral:tRNA from 1 species
GGCGGCGUACAACCAAGAGGUCAAGGUGGUGUUCACGGCCAUGUUGGACACAGCUGGUUUUCCAGUUUCGCAGGUUCGAAUCCUGUCGUCGCCC